GAUGAACGCUAGCGGCAGGCCUAAUACAUGCAAGUCGAACGGUGUCUUCGGACAUAGUGGCGCACGGGUGCGUAACACGUAUGCAACCUACCUUACAUUGGGGGAUAGCCUUUCGAAAGGGAGAUUAAUACCGCAUAAGACAGUAGCUGGGCAUCCAGUAGCUGUUAAAGAUUUAUCGAUGUAAGCUGGGCAUGCGUCCAAUUAGCUAGUUGGUGAGGUAACGGCUCACCAAGGCAAUGAUUGGUAGGGGAACUGAGAGGUCAAUCCCCCACACUGGCACUGAGAUACGGGCCAGAAUCCUACGGGAGGCAGCAGUAGGGAAUAUUGGGCAAUGGACGCAAGUCUGACCCGGCCAUGCCGCGUGCAGGAUGAAGGCGUUAUGCGUUGUAAACUGCUUUUAUACAGGAAGAAACGACUCUUGCGAGAGGCAUUGACGGUACUGUAUGAAUAAGCACCGGCUAACUCCGUGCCAGCAGCCGCCGUAAGAC
rnacentral:rRNA from 1 species